UACGAAGGGGGCUAGCGUUGUUCGGAAGCACUGGGCGUAAAGGGCGCGUAGGCGGCUUUGUAAGUCGGGGGUGAAAGCCUGUGGCUCAACCACAGAAUUGCCUUCGAUACUGCAUGGCUUGAGACCGGAAGAGGUUAGUGGAACUGCGAGUGUAGAGGUGAAAUUCGUAGAUAUUCGCAAGAACACCAGUGGCGAAGGCGGCUGACUGGUCCGGUUCUGACGCUGAGGCGCGAAAGCGUGGGGAGCAAACAGG
rnacentral:rRNA from 1 species